rnacentral:rRNA from 1 species
ACGGGCUCUUCGGAGCUAGUGGCGGACGGGUGAGUAACGCGUGAGAAUCUGGCUUCAGGUUCGGGACAACAGUUGGAAACGGCUGCUAAUACCGGAUGUGCCUUAUGGUGAAAGAUUUAUCACCUGAAGAUGAGCUCGCGUCUGAUUAGCUAGUAGGUGUGGUAAGAGCGCACCUAGGCGACGAUCAGUAGCUGGUCUGAGAGGAUGAUCAGCCACACUGGGACUGAGACACGGCCCAGACUCCUACGGGAGGCAGCAGUGGGGAAUUUUCCGCAAUGGGCGAAAGCCUGACGGAGCAAUACCGCGUGAGGGAGGAAGGCUCUUGGGUUGUAAACCUCUUUUCUCAGGGAAGAAUGAUGACGGUACCUGAGGAAUAAGCAUCGGCUAACUCCGUGCCAGCAGCCGCGGUAAUACGGAGGAUGCAAGCGUUAUCCGGAAUGAUUGGGCGUAAAGCGUCCGCAGGUGGCAAUGUAAGUCUGCUGUCAAAGCGUCUGGCUCAACCAGAUAAAGGCAGUGGAAACUACAUAGCUAGAGUAAGGUAGGGGUAGAGGGAAUUCCUGGUGUAGCGGUGAAAUGCGUAGAGAUCAGGAAGAACA